rnacentral:piRNA from 1 species
CGACAGUUGGCGCCUGGUUGGUGGGGAUC